rnacentral:rRNA from 1 species
UCCUACGGGAGGCAGCAGUAGGGAAUAUUGGGCAAUGGGCGGAAGCCUGACCCAGCGACGCCGCGUGAGGGAUGAAGGUCUUCGGAUUGUAAACCUCUUUCAGUAGGGAAGAAGCGAAAGUGACGGUACCUAAAGAAGAAGCACCGGCUAACUAUGUGCCAGCAGCCGCGGUAAU